AGAGUUUGAUCAUGGCUCAGAAUGAACGCUGGCGGCGUGCUUAACACAUGCAAGUCGAGCGGUAAGGCCCCUUCGGGGGUACACGAGCGGCGAACGGGUGAGUAACGCGUGGGUAACCUACCCAGAAGUGGGGGAUAGCCUCGGGAAACUGGGGGUAAUACCGCAUGAGCCCUUCGAGGCGCUGGCCUCAAAGGGAAAAGGCGGGGAUCUUCGGACCUGUCGCUUCUGGAUGGGCCCGCGUCCGAUUAGCUAGUUGGUGGGGUAAUGGCCUACCAAGGCGACGAUCGGUAGCCGGCCUGAGAGGGUGAACGGCCACAUUGGGACUGAGACACGGCCCAGACUCCUACGGGAGGCAGCAGUGGGGAAUUUUGGGCAAUGGGCGAAAGCCUGACCCAGCGACGCCGCGUGGAGGAUGAAGGCCUUCGGGUUGUAAACUCCUGUCAGGUGGGAAGAAAUGCUCGCCGGCCAACACCCGGCGGGAGUUGACUGUACCACCAAAGGAAGCCCCGGCUAACUCCGUGCCAGCAGCCGCGGUAAUACGGAGGGGGCAAGCGUUAUUCGGAUUUACUGGGCGUAAAGCGCACGUAGGCGGCGAGGUAAGUCAAAGGUGAAAGCCCUCGGCUCAACCGAGGAACUGCCUUUGAAACUGCCCUGCUUGAGUCCGGGAGGGGGGAGCGGAAUUCCCAGUGUAGCGGUGAAAUGCGUAGAUACUGGGAGGAACACCGGUGGCGAAGGCGGCUCCCUGGACCGGUACUGACGCUGAGGUGCGAAAGCGUGGGUAGCAAACAGGAUUAGAUACCCUAGUAGUCC
rnacentral:rRNA from 1 species